rnacentral:rRNA from 1 species
GAUGAACGCUGGCGGCGUGCCUAAUACAUGCAAGUCGAGCGAACGGACGAGAAGCUUGCUUCUCUGAUGUUAGCGGCGGACGGGUGAGUAACACGUGGAUAACCUACCUAUCAGACUGGGAUAACUUCGGGAAACCGGAGCUAAUACCGGAUAAUAUUUUGAACCGCAUGGUUCAAUAGUGAAAGACGGUCUUGCUGUCACUUAUAGAUGGAUCCGCGCUGCAUUAGCUAGUUGGUAAGGUAACGGCUUACCAAGGCAACGAUGCAUAGCCGACCUGAGAGGGUGAUCGGCCACACUGGAGCUGAGACGCGGUCCAGACUCCUACGGGAGGCAGCAGUAGGGAAUCUUCCGCAGUGGGCGAAAGCCUGACGGAGCAACGCCGCGUGAGUGAUGAAGGUCUUCGGAUCGUAAAACUCUGUUAUUAGGGAAGAACAUAUGUGUAAGUAACUGUGCACAUCUUGACGGUACCUAAUCAGAAAGCAACGGCUAACUACGUG